rnacentral:rRNA from 1 species
CCUACGGGAGGCAGCAGUGAGGAAUAUUGGUCAAUGGCCGUAAGGCUGAACCAGCCAAGUCGCGUGAAGGAAGAAGGAUCUAUGGUUUGUAAACUUCUUUUAUAUGGGAAUAAAAUGUUCCACGUGUGGGAUUUUGUAUGUACCAUAUGAAUAAGGAUCGGCUAACUCCGUGCCAGCAGCCGCGGUAAUACGGAGGAUCCGAGCGUUAUCCGGAUUUAUUGGGUUUAAAGGGAGCGUAGAUGGGUUGUUAAGUCAGUUGUGAAAGUUUGCGGCUCAACCGUAAAAUUGCAAUUGAUACUGGCAGUCUUGAGUACAGUUGAGGUAGGCGUAAUUCGUGGUGUAGCGGUGAAAUGCUUAGAUAUCACGAAGAACCCCGAUUGCGAAGGCAGCUUACUAAACUGUGACUGACAUUGAUGCUCGAAAGUGUGGGGAUCAAACAGGAUUAGAUACCCGUGUAGUC